rnacentral:rRNA from 1 species
GAUGAACGCUGGCGGCGUGCAUAACACAUGCAAGUCGAACGAGGAAACUUAGUAGACUUCUUCGGAAAGACACUAAGCGGAUUAGUGGCGAACGGGUGAGUAACGCGUGAGUAACCUGCCUUACACAAGGGGAUAGCCGUUGGAAACGAAGAAUAAUACCCUAUAAAACUAUAAAAGCACAUGCUAUAAUGGUCAAAGUGAUAGCGGUGUAAGAUGGACUUGCGUCUGAUUAGCUAGUUGGUGAGAUAAAAGCUCACCAAGGCAACGAUCAGUAGCCGGCUGGGAAGAGUGUACGGCAAAAUUGGGACUGGGACACGGCCCAGACUCCUACGGAAGGCAGCAGUGGGGAAAUUUGAAAAAUGGGGGAAACCCUGAUGCAGCGAGGCGGGGUGAUUAAGAAGGCCUUCGGGUUGUAAAGAUCUUUUGUAUAGGAAGAAAAUGACAGUACUAUACGAAUAAGGUCCGGCUAAUUACGUG